CGACGCCUACGGGGCGCAGCAGUGAGGAAUAUUGGCCAAUGGGCGAGAGCCUGAACCAGCCAAGUCGCGUGAGGGAUGACUGCCCUAUGGGUUGUAAACCUCUUUUGUAUGGGGGGAAUAAGCUUUACGAGUAGAGUGAUGACAGUACCAUACGAAUAAGCAUCGGCUAACUCCGUGCCAGCAGCCGCGGUAAUACGGAGGAUGCGAGCGUUAUCCGGCUUUAUUGGGUUUAAAGGGUGCGUAGGCGGCAUUAUAAGUUAGUG
rnacentral:rRNA from 1 species